CAGCACGGGAGCUUGCUCCUGGUGGCGAGUGGCGGACGGGUGAGUAAUGCGUGGGAAUCUGCCUUAUGGCUGGGGACAACCAGUGGAAACGCUGGCUAAUACCGAAUACCGUCUACGGACGAAAGCGGGGGAUCUUCGGACCUCGCACCAUAAGAUGAGCCCACGUCUGAUUAGCUAGUUGGUGAGGUAAAUGCUUACCAAGGCGACGAUCAGUAUCCGGCCUGAGAGGGUGGACGGACACACUGGGACUGAGACACGGCCCAGACUCCUACGGGAGGCAGCAGUGGGGAAUAUUGGACAAUGGGCGCAAGCCUGAUCCAGCAAUGCCGCGUGUGUGAAGAAGGCCUUCGGGUUGUAAAGCACUUUUUGUUAGGGAGGAAAGUGGAGUAGCUAAUAACUGCGAGAUAUGAC
rnacentral:rRNA from 1 species